GCAACCCCGCCCCAACCCUUUUCUGGGAUGGACCGGGAUGUCCAGCGGAGAAGACUCCUUGGGAAGCCUGGCCUGUCGCACACCCCCAUCGUGGCCCAGCCCACACCAAAGCUUACCCUCAGGGUCUCCAAUUCCUUGCGAGCCUGGCUUAGCUGCUUCUCCAGUUCAGCGAUCUUGGCCAUGGAGUCGUUCUCUGUGUCCCGAAGCCGCUCUGUCAGCUGUGGUACCAGCACAUGGCCCAGACCUCCAGCCUGAGCCAGCUCCCCCCUCUGUCCAGUAUCUCUGAGUUCCCCGUCAACCGGCUGAGAUCGGAGCAUCUGACGGGACUGAUGCUCCUGCGUCAAGACCCAGAACCACCUGAGCCUGUUCCAGGACUUCGAUGACAGAUGUUAUAGUAUCCGUCAUGUACCAGGGGCUCCUCUACACAUCUGGAGUCAUUGUCACCUCUGUGAUUGAC
ensembl:antisense Gm20511 predicted gene 20511